AACGCAACUUGCGCCCAGCAAUGGGCAUGUCUGUUUGAGUACCGCAAAUCUCUCUGCUCUCCGCAAGGUGGGCGACUUGGGCCGUAACGCGCUGCAAUCCUGCACCAUGUGUGGGGGAUGUGGUGGCGAGUUUGGCCUGGAAUGGAGCAAGUCGGAUGGACGUCAGUUGCCUCUAUGUGUGCUAUAAACACGCAAGUGUUUGGUCGCAUUGAGUGUGAUUUUGGUGCGCCAUGUAGUGGUGGUGGUGGUGAUGGCAGUAGUUGGUGGUGGUGGUGUUGGGUGCGUGUCUGGUUAGCGUUCGCGCUGCACGACGCGCAUUCACACCUUCACCCCUCUCUCCCUCCCUCCCCCCCACUCCCUCUUCUUUGGUCUCAAAUCAGGCAGGAUUACCCGCUGAACUUAA
rnacentral:misc_RNA from 2 species